rnacentral:rRNA from 1 species
UAAGCUGGCGGCGUGCUUAUCAUAUAACAAGUCAGAACGAGGUCCAUACGAUCUUCGGAUUGGUGAAGACUAGCACGGGUGCGUAACACGUGAGAAACCUGCCCCGGUCUCUGGGAUAACAGUUGGAAACGACUGAUAAUACCGGAUGCCGUCGGACCGUCGCAUGGCGGACCGACGAAAGGGUUACCGGAUCGGGAGGGUCUCGCGGCCUAUCAGCUUGUUAGUGAGGUAACGGCUCACCAAGGCAUCGACGGGUAGCUGGUCUGAGAGGAUGACAGCACACAGGAUGAGACACGGCCAACCCUAGGGAGGCGCAAGAGGAAUACUAGCACCAUGGGCGAACAAACAGA